UACAGAGGUCUCGAGCGUUUGUUCGGAUUCAUUGGGCGUAAAGGGCGCGUAGGCGGCGGGGUAAGUCUGGUGUGAAAUCUAGGAGCUCAACUCCUAAACUGCACUGGAUACUGCUCUGCUGGAGGACUGGAGAGGAGACUGGAAUUCACGGUGUAGCAGUGAAAUGCGUAGAUAUCGUGAGGAAGACCAGUGGCGAAGGCGGGUCUCUGGACAGUUCCUGACGCUGAGGCGCGAAGGCCAGGGGAGCAAACGGG
rnacentral:rRNA from 1 species